AAACGACUCUCGGCAACGGAUAUCUAGGCUCUCGCAUCGAUGAAGAACGUAGCAAAAUGCGAUACUUGGUGUGAAUUGCAGAAUCCCGUGAACCAUCGAGUUUUUGAACGCAAGUUGCGCCCAAAGCCAUUAGGCCGAGGGCACGCCUGCCUGGGCGUCUCA
rnacentral:rRNA from 1 species